GGAUUAGAUACCCUGGUAGUCCACGCCGUAAACGAUGAGUGCUAGGUGUUGGAGGACUAUACCCCUUCAUUGCCGUAGUUAACGCAUUAAGCACUCCGCCUGGGGAGUACGGCCGCAAGGCUAAAACUCAAAGGAAUUGACGGGGGCCCGCACAAGCAGUGGAGUAUGUGGUUUAAUUCGACGCAACGCGCAGAACCUUACCCGGCCUUGACAUCGUAGGGAACUCCUGGGAAAGCAGGAGGUGCCACCGCAAGGUGGAGCCCUUUGACAGGUGCUGCAUGGCUGUCGUCAGCUCGUGCCG
rnacentral:rRNA from 1 species